rnacentral:hammerhead_ribozyme from 1 species
AUCCAGCUGGCGAGUGUCAAAUAGGACGAAAUGCGCGUCCUAGAU